rnacentral:tRNA from 1 species
CAAGUCCUGUAGUGCGGAGCACGUCGAAUUGCAAACUCGAAAACGCCACAAAAGUGGCCCGGACU